GAAUUCACACUGAAUAAAUUACUCUUCGGUACAAUUUUAAGAAAAUGUUUGUUCAAUUUUAGUCGUAGCUUUAGAACACUUUGUAAUGCAGCGAACCAGUAUCAAUCCCCUGAUUGUUUUGGGGGCAUAGUUUUUUUGUUAGGAGCUAUUCUUUCCCCAGAAGCAGUGGCAAGCUUUAGCAUUCACCCUAUCUUCAGGCUGGAAUGGGGAUGUACCUGCCUUGCAUAGCAUAAUGCAGUGGCACCUGCUGAGUUAAAAUGACCUUGAUCCACUGAUAUGGUCACCUGGGGUUGAUUCCUGCCUGUGAUGGUGCUGAUAUGCCAAAGGGAGACUGGGAAGGGAAUGUGGAAGAAGAAAAGUGAAAGUACCUACACCAUGGUGCUCAAGAGACAAAUCAUGGCCUACCUUUGAAGAAAGGGAAGAAUGUCUCCAAACUACUGUGCUCCUGUUUUAACCUCUAUACAGUCAGAGAAGGCAAUUCAGGCUGACCAGACUGGCACUCUCCAGUUUCAAACAGAUUAUUGGAAGUAUGAGAUCAACCUCAAAGGUGAAGUAUCUGUUUGCUUGAUCUCUAAUGCAGGUGGGAUGUCCUGCACGGGCAAGGCUUGCAGGCCAGGACACAAAAGGGGUGAAAAGCUCUUCACUGAUUUUAAGCAGUCAGUACUACAGGAGCAUGGAGGGGAGUGUGGAAAGAAGGGGAUUCUCUGCUAAGCAGGCACAAGGAUAAGUGCAGAUGUUGGUGUAAGAAGGAGAUGUACAGGAUGGGAGCUGAGGGUGGUUUUGGGAAGCCCUGAACGUGGCUGCAGGACUGGCUGUGCCGGGUCCCUAGAACUUUUGGCCUGGAUAUCUCCCAGAAACAAAGAGCUCCUUGAAACAGGGCAAAACAAGGUGACGAUCUGUUCUUCGGCUCUCACACAGGUUUUGAUGUGCGUCUUCAGAGUCACCGCGAUUGACACCGAGAGUGGAGAAAUGGCAUGAUGAAAGGAGAACACAAACCACGCGUGCCCCAAAAAGGUGAGGUGAAGUUCCCAGGGUGAAGAAGGAGCCC
rnacentral:lncRNA from 1 species